rnacentral:rRNA from 1 species
GAUGAACGCUGGCGGCGUGCUUAACACAUGCAAGUCGAACGAAGCACCUUGAUUUCUUCGGAAUGAUUAGUGACUGAGUGGCGGACGGGUGAGUAACGCGUGGGUAACCUGCCUCACACAGGGGGAUAACAGUUAGAAAUGACUGCUAAUACCGCAUAAGACCACAGUACCGCAUGGUACAGGGAUAAAAACUCCGGUGGUGUGAGAUGGACCCGCGUCUGAUUAGCUAGUUGGUGAGGUAACGGCCCACCAAGGCGACGAUCAGUAGCCGACCUGAGAGGGUGACCGGCCACAUUGGGACUGAGACACGGCCCAAACUCCUACGGGAGGCAGCAGUGGGGAAUAUUGCACAAUGGGCGAAAGCCUGAUGCAGCGACGCCGCGUGAAGGAUGAAGUAUUUCGGUAUGUAAACUUCUAUCAGCAGGGAAGAAAAUGACGGUACCUGACUAAGAAGCCCCGGCUAACUACGUGCCAGCCGCCGCGGUAAGAC